ensembl:lncRNA
AUGGAAGUAGUGAAGAAAGAGGUGGCGGUGAAAAUGAAGUGCCUUGAGGCCCAGUAUAUCACUGUGAUACAGAGGGAAGCUAUUGAUUUGUAUACAUUAAUGCAGAGGAAGUCCAGGAAUGCGGAGGACAUGCACAAAGAGAAAAUAGCGCUGCUUCAAAAAAGCUAUCAAAACCAGCUUGUUGAGGCCAUACACAUCAUUAAGGACAGUUUCAAGAAAUCCCCCACGCAAAACAAAAUUUCAAUCCCAGGUGGUCAAACUGAUAAUCGAAUUGUGGAGGAGCUUUUGACCAAACUGGAAGAGCAGAGCUUCGAAAUGCUCAUUUUAACUGAAAAAGUGGCUGAAUAUGAGGAGCAGCUCAACACAAUGAGCUAUGCAGAGGACACUGGGGAAACUGACACAGACUGGCUGAAAGAUGAGAAUGGAAGGCUGGAAGAGGAAAAUGAAAAGCUUAACGAUGACAUUGACUCUCUGUACAUCGACCUGGAGCAGCUCCGAGAGGACCUGGAGGCCAAAGAAAAAAACAUUGAAGCUUUAGCCAACGAUUUAAAGCAGCUGACGAUAAAAGCAAAUGAAGAAAGGAGGACCGUUCAAA